UACGCCUACGGGGCGCAGCAGUGAGGAAUAUUGGUCAAUGGGCGAGAGCCUGAACCAGCCAAGUCGCGUGAAGGAUGACGGCCCUACGGGUUGUAAACUUCUUUUGUCAGGGAGCAAUUGGGUCCACGCGUGGGCUUAGCGAGAGUACCUGAAGAAAAAGCAUCGGCUAACUCCGUGCCAGCAGCCGCGGUCAUACGGAGGAUGCGAGCGUUAUCCGGAUUUAUUGGGUUUAAAGGGUGCGUAGGCGGACUGUUAAGUCAGCGGUAAAAGCCCGGGGCUCAACCCCGGCGAGCCGUUGCAACUGG
rnacentral:rRNA from 1 species